AGUGAACGCUGGCGGUAGGCCUAACACAUGCAAGUCGAACGGCAGCACAGUAAGAGCUUGCUCUUACGGGUGGCGAGUGGCGGACGGGUGAGGAAUACAUCGGAAUCUACUUUUUCGUGGGGGAUAACGUAGGGAAACUUACGCUAAUACCGCAUACGACCUACGGGUGAAAGCAGGGGAUCUUCGGACCUUGCGCGAUUGAAUGAGCCGAUGUCGGAUUAGCUAGUUGGCGGGGUAAAGGCCCACCAAGGCGACGAUCCGUAGCUGGUCCGAGGGGAUGAUCAGCCACACUGGAACUGAGACACGGUCCAGACUCCUACGGGAGGCAGCAGUGGGGAAUAUUGGACAAUGGGCGCAAGCCUGAUCCAGCCAUACCGCGUGGGUGAAGAAGGCCUUCGGGUUGUAAAGCCCUUUUGUUGGGAAAGAAAAGCAGCAGGUUAAUACCCCGCUGUUCUGACGGUACCCAAAGAAUAAGCACCGGCUAACUUCGUG
rnacentral:rRNA from 1 species